rnacentral:snoRNA from 1 species
AUUUCUAAGGUUAUGGUUGCAUAGGGGUACAGUUAAAAAAUUCAGUAGGGGGCUUUUUACCAACUUGGGCUAUUUGGCAGAGUGAUUAAGACCACACUCCACAGUGGGCUAUAUCACCUAGUAUGGUUCAUUACUAUUGUGUGGCCUAUGCU